GCCUUAUUGUUAUUGAUCGGCUCGGUUCGGCGAUGGUGUGACUCGGUGUGGACUCGUGAAACUGAGAAGACUGAGGUAGCAUAGGAAGACGACGGCAAAAGGGUCCUUAACUUGAUUGUAUAUGCUUGGUAGCAUAGGAAGACGACGGCACCUGGAAUCUCAUUGAUCUAUCUCGAGGACAGCUCCGAGAUCGCCUUUGCAUUCCUUCUCCUGCUCCGUUAUGCUGCCGUCUUCGCUCCCGUGAGCGAGAACCGGAAGCGGAUUCGCGAAGUGGAGAACAUAGAUAUGGGGUACAUCUGCAGCUGGAUUGUAGGCCUUGGGUGGGGAUUUUGAAGAGAAACUCCAAUUCUUGACAAAAAUACGAAAACAGGAGGGCAUUGUUCAAGAGUUUAGCUUCCGGUAUUCAAGCUAAAGGUCCUGUACUCUUUGCUAUUACAAAGUGUAAAAGCCAUUCUGAGAACUGACAUGAGGUAAUCAUACAGACAUAUAUUGCAAGAUCAAGGAAGAGUUGAGGAUAAGUUACUACGGAUUUGUGAGUCUUGUGACCAUUUGGUAUUGUUGAACUUUAUUAUAAAUAAACAUGUAUCAAGGAUAGUUUGAACACAAUAUUCAUUAUUGCCACUCGAUGUCUAUGAAAAGGAAACUGCAGUCACA